UACGUAGGGGGCGAGCGUUGUCCGGAUUUAUUGGGCGUAAAGAGCUCGUAGGCGGUUUGGCAAGUCGGGUGUGAAAACUCCGGGCUCAACUCGGAGACGCCACUCGAUACUGCUAUGACUCGAGUCCGGUAGGGGAGUGCGGAAUUCCUGGUGUAGCGGUGAAAUGCGCAGAUAUCAGGAGGAACACCGGUGGCGAAGGCGGCACUCUGGGCCGGUACUGACGCUGAGGCGCGAAAGCGUGGGGAGCAAACAGG
rnacentral:rRNA from 1 species